rnacentral:rRNA from 1 species
GGAAUAUUGCACAAUGGGGGCAACCCUGAUGCAGCCAUGCCGCGUGUGUGAAGAAGGCCUUCGGGUUGUAAAGCACUUUCCGUCGUGAGGAAAGGUUAGUGGUUAAUACCCAUUAGCUGUGACGUUAGCGACAGAAGACGGACAGGCUAACUCCGUGCCAGCAGCCGCGGUAAUACGGAGGGUCCGAGCGUUAAUCGGAAUUACUGGGCGUAAAGCGAACGCAGGCGGUUUGUUAAGCUAGAUGUGAAAGCCCCGGGCUCAACCUGGGAAUUGCAUUUAGAACUGGCAGGCUAGAGUCAUGGAGAGGGGAGUGGAAUUCCAGGUGUAGCGGUGAAAUGCGUAGAUAUCUGGAGGAACAUCAGUGGCGAAGGCGACUCCCUGGCCAAAGACUGACGCUCAUGUGCGAAAGUGUGGGUAGCGAAC